AGGAGUGUAGCUCAUUUGGUAGAGUAUCGGUCUCCAAAACCGAGGGUUGAGGGUUCGAAUCCCUCCUCUCCUG
rnacentral:tRNA from 1 species